AUGAAGAGUUUGAUCCUGGCUCAGGACGAACGCUGGCGGCGUGCUUAACACAUGCAAGUCAAGGAGAACGGGAAACUUCGGAAUCCUUAGUAAACUGGCGAACGGGUGAGUAACACGUAGGUAACCUGCCCAUAGGACUAGGAUAACCUUGCUAACGCAGGGCUAAUACUGGAUAAAAUUUUUCUGUCGCAUGAGAGAGAAAUCAAAGUUGCCUUCGGGUAGCAUCUAUGGAUGGACCUGCGUCCCAUUAGCUAGUUGGUGGGGUAACAGCCUACCAAGGCGACGAUGGGUAGCCGGCCUGAGAGGGUGACCGGCCACACUGGGACUGAGACACGGCCCAGACUCCUACGGGNNNNNNNNNNNNNNNNNNNNNNNGACUCCUACGGGAGGCAGCAGUGAGGAAUAUUGCGCAAUGGGCGAAAGCCUGACGCAGCAACGCCGCGUGGAUGAUGAAGCUCUAAGGAGUGUAAAGUCCUGUUAGGAGGGAAGAAUAACUUUUAUUCGAACAGGAUAAAGGUUUGACGGUACCUCCAGAGGAAGCCCCGGCUAACUCCGUGCCAGCAGCCGCGGUAAUACGGAGGGGGCGAGCGUUGUUCGGAAUUACUGGGCGUAAAGGGCGCGUAGGCGGCAUGGUAAGUCAGAGGUGAAAACCAUAGGCUUAACUUAUGGCCUGCCUUUAAAACUGCCAUCCUUGAGUAUGGGAGAGGGAAGUGGAAUUCCUGGUGUAGCGGUGAAAUGCGUAGAUAUCAGGAAGAACACCGGUGGCGAAGGCGGCUUUCUGGGCCAUAACUGACGCUGAGGCGCGAAAGCGUGGGGAGCAAACAGGAUUAGAUACCCGGGUAGUCCAC
rnacentral:rRNA from 1 species